CCUACGGGAGGCAGCAGUUAGGAAUUUUGCACAAUGGACGAAAGUCUGAUGCAGCAACGCCGCGUGAGUGAUGAAGGCCUUCGGGUUGUAAAGCUCUUUUAGCAGGGACGAAAAAAAUGACGGUACCUGCAGAAAAAGCACCGGCUAACUCUGUGCCAGCAGCCGC
rnacentral:rRNA from 1 species